rnacentral:tRNA from 1 species
GCCCGCCUAGCUCAAUCGGAUAGAGCGUCAGACUCUUACGUCAUAGGCUUGGGUGCAUCUGAAGGCUGCGAGUUCGACCCUCGCGGUGGGCU